rnacentral:ribozyme from 1 species
AAGAAGAAAAAGAAGAAGAAAAGACGAAGAAAAUGAAGAAAGAAUACCCUAUUUUAUGCAUGCUAUGACUGCAGAUACCGGCGGAUCAUUUUUCUUCCCUUUUGUUUAUUUUUGGAAACUGAACAAAAUUGGGCAGUAGAAGUUUGCUGAAGCAACGGAAUUGAUACUAGAAUUGAGUUUUCAAUCAUUU